rnacentral:rRNA from 1 species
CGUAAAGCGAACGCAGGCGGACCUUUAAGUAGGAAGUGAAAGGUUGGAGCUCAACUCUAACACUGCUCCCUAUACUGGAGGUCUUGAGUGCCGGAGAGGAGAACGGAACAAGUUGUGUAGCGGUGAAAUGCGUUGAUAUAACUUGGAACACCAAUGGCGAAAGCAGUUCUCUGGACGGAUACUGACGCUCAGGUUCGAAAGCCAAGGUAGCACACAGGAUUAGAUACCCUGGUAGUCUUGGCCUUAAACGAUGUUCACUAGGUGUUGGGGGUAACCCUCGGUGCCGCAGCUAACGCAUUAAGUGAACCGCCUGGGGACUACGGCCGCAAGGUUGAAACUCAAAGGAAUUGGCGGGGGACCGCACAAGCGGUGGAGCAUGUGGCUUAAUUCGAUGCAACGCGAAGAACCUUACCAGGGCUUGACAUGUAUCUGCAAGCUGCCGAAAAGCAGUCGCUUUCGAAGGUGAUACACAGGUGGUGCAUGGCUGUCGUCAGCUCGUGUUGUGAAAUGUUGGGUUAAGUCCCGCAACGAGCGCAACCCUCAUGUUAUGUUGCCAGCGAGUAAUGUCGGGAACUCAUAACAAACUGCCUCUGUAAAGAGGAGGAAGGCGGGGAUGACGUCAAGUCAUCAUGCCCCUUACGUCCUGGGCUGCACACAUGCUACAAUGGCUGGCACAAAGGGUUGCCAACCUGCGAAGGUAUGCUAAUCUCAAAAAACCAGUCUCAGUUCGGAUCGGAGUCUGCAACUCGACUCCGUGAAGUUGGAAUCGCUA